rnacentral:misc_RNA from 1 species
GUGAAUCAUCAAAUUUUUGAACGCAAAUUGCACUCUCUUCGGAGAGUAUGCCUGUUCGAGGGUCAGCCUAAAAAAAAUCGACAUCUUUGCUGUUCCGCGGUGGCUUUCUUCGAAAAUUGGUUUAUCUUAAAUCUUUGUUUUAACCAACUUAAAAUUUUCUUUACAAUUCCAUAACCUUUUCCAGGAUUAAUUUCUUUACACUUUUAGGUUUUCAAUUUAAUUAGCCUUGUUCUUCAUAUCGAU